CACAUGCAAGUCGAACGGCAGCAUGAUCUAGCUUGCUAGAUUGAUGGCGAGUGGCGAACGGGUGAGUAAUACAUCGGAACGUGCCCUGUAGUGGGGGAUAACUAGUCGAAAGAUUAGCUAAUACCGCAUACGACCUGAGGGUGAAAGUGGGGGACCGCAAGGCCUCAUGCUAUAGGAGCGGCCGAUGUCUGAUUAGCUAGUUGGUGAGGUAAAGGCUCACCAAGGCGACGAUCAGUAGCUGGUCUGAGAGGACGAUCAGCCACACUGGGACUGAGACACGGCCCAGACUCCUACGGGAGGCAGCAGUGGGGAAUUUUGGACAAUGGGGGCGACCCUGAUCCAGCAAUGCCGCGUGUGUGAAGAAGGCCUUCGGGUUGUAAAGCACUUUUGUCCGGAAAGAAAUCGCACUUACUAAUAUUAGGUGUGGAUGACGGUACCGGAAGAAUAAGGACCGGCUAACUACGUGCCAGCAGCCGCGGUAAUACGUAGGGUCCAAGCGUUAAUCGGAAUUACUGGGCGUAAAGCGUGCGCAGGCGGUUGUGCAAGACCGAUGUGAAAUCCCCGGGCUUAACCUGGGAAUUGCAUUGGUGACUGCACGGCUAGAGUGUGUCAGAGGGGGGUAGAAUUUCCACGUGUAGCAGUGAAAUGCGUAGAGAUGUGGAGGAAUACCGAUGGCGAAAGCAGCCCCCUGGGAUACACUGACGNUCAUGCACGAANGNGUGGGNAGCAAACANGGAUUAGAACCCUGGUAGUCCACGCCCUAAAACGAUGUCAACUAGUUGUUGGGGAUUCAUUUCCUUAGUAACGUAGCUAACGCGUGAAAGUUGACCGCCUGGGGAGUACGGUCGCAAGAUUAAAAACUCAAAGGAAUUGACGGGGACCCGCACAAGCGGUGGAUGAUGUGGAUUAAUUCGAUGCAACGCGAAAAACCUUACCUACCCUUGACAUGCCACUAACGAAGCAGAGAUGCAUUAGGUGCUCGAAAGAGAAAGUGGACACAGGUGCUGCAUGGCUGUCGUCAGCUCGUGUCGUGAGAUGUUGGGUUAAGUCCCGCAACGAGCGCAACCCUUGUCUCUAGUUGCUACGAAAGGGCACUCUAGAGAGACUGCCGGUGACAAACCGGAGGAAGGUGGGGAUGACGUCAAGUCCUCAUGGCCCUUAUGGGUAGGGCUUCACACGUCAUACAAUGGUGCAUACAGAGGGUUGCCAAGCCGCGAGGUGGAGCUAAUCCCAGAAAAUGCAUCGUAGUCCGGAUCGUAGUCUGCAACUCGACUACGUGAAGCUGGAAUCGCUAGUAAUCGCGGAUCAGCAUGCCGCGGUGAAUACGUUCCCGGGUCUUGUACACACCGCCCGUCACACCAUGGGAGUGGGUUUUGCCAGAAGUAGUUAGCCUAACCGCAAGGGGGGCGAUUACCACGGCAGGGUUCAUGACUGGGGUGGAGUCGUAA
rnacentral:rRNA from 1 species